CAGACAGUAGAAAAGCUGAAAAAGAAUAGACAGACUAUUUUAGACAAUAUUGACGUAUACAAAGAUGUGGUGAAAUUGAAUACACAACUCAGAAAAGAAAUAAGAUGGAUCAUUGAAGAAUCAAAAGGAGAAAAGGAAACUAGGAGAAUAUUGGGUCUACUCAAACAGGACACAAAAGGCAUAUGUUCACCGCCAAUUGCAAAGUACAAAGAUUGUACAGAGAUAAAGAGGAAAACAAAGAAAAAA